rnacentral:rRNA from 1 species
GAUCCUGGCUCAGGAUGAACGCUAGCGGGAGGCCUAACACAUGCAAGCCGAGCGGUAUUGUUUCUUCGGAAAUGAGAGAGCGGCGUACGGGUGCGGAACACGUGUGCAACCUGCCUUUAUCUGGGGGAUAGCCUUUCGAAAGGAAGAUUAAUACUCCAUAAUAUAUUGAACGGCAUCGUUUAAUAUUGAAAGCUCCGGCGGAUAGAGAUGGGCACGCGCAAGAUUAGCUAGUUGGUGAGGUAACGG